rnacentral:rRNA from 1 species
UAGCAUAAUCAUUUGCCCCCUAAUUAGGGGCUAGAAUGAACGGACAAACGAGAGUCCUACUGUCUCACUAUAAUACAUAAAAAUUAACCUUCAAGUGAAGAGGCUUGACAAGAAAAAAAGACAAGAAGACCCUAUUGAGCUUCAUUUUAUACUCUUUUACACCUCCUAUUUAUUUAGACCUUCCUACAAGAGAAAAAAAUUUAGUUGGGGCGACUGAGGAGCAAUAAAAACCCUCCUCACUCCACAAAGGCCUUUCGCCUAAAAGAUCCGCCAAUAGCGAUCAAUAAAACUAGCUACCAUAGGGAUAACAGGCUAAUCCUUCUCGAGAGCCCGAAUUGACAGAAGGGAUUGGCACCUCGAUGUUGGCUUAGGAAAACACCAAAAUGCAGAA